AAAUGGUUUUUACUAUAUAUAAAGCCUUUUAACCAGUUUAUAUUUGUUACAUGCAAAGGUGGGAAAAAAAUGCCUCAAACUCUCAAGUUUGCUUAUAUUGCGAUCCUUUUUGUUUUCCUUUUAAACGUUGUAGUCUUUGGUUUUAAGUGUGAUACUCAUGAAGAUUGCUAUAAAAUAUUCCCAACUAUUAUUCCAGAAACAAUAAAGUGCGUGGAAGGUUUUUGUUCCAUCAUACUUCUUAGUAGUGAUCUUCAGCCCAAACCUAAUUAGGACGAGACCGAGUAGUAGUAUCGAGGUGUUUCUUCAUGAGAAUAAAGUGGAGCAUUAGGGUGUUCUAUAGAGUUCGUUGGAUUAUUCUCUCAAAAAUAAUAGUGGAUGCUAUAUCCAUUCCCCACUAAUAUAUAUGUAAUUUUUUUUACGAAUAAAUGUUCUCUUCCUUAAUAUAGACUAUUUUCUUUUUCUUUGAGCACUCCACUCUCUUUUUCUUCGCCUGAUGUUUCCCGUAGGGAUUUAAAUGUAUGGUUUUUAAUGAGACAAUUGUCAUUUAUUUCAAGUCCAACUAGGAUAUUGGCCUAGUGCAACAAGUUUUGUAUUCUUGAUUUUAAUUUAAUGUUAUUGUGAGUUAGCUUGAUUUUUAA